UUUCCGGUAACGGAACCAACUUAUUUAACCAAAAAAUAUUAAUUGGUCAAAUCUAGAAUUUUGAGAAAGAAAUCGGGUUACUGAUAAUCAAGAGACCAAAAAGAAAUAGGCUUUCUGAGAAUAAGAAUAAAGCAGUAAAAAAAGUUUGUAUUUCAAUAUGAUAUAUAUGAAGUUUCGUAUCCUUAUAAAUGAUGAAACCUCCUCCUUUUAUAGUUAAUAAUGAGUAAUGGCUUAAUCUAAAUAAUAAGGGACAUUUAAUGAGGCGUUACACAAUCAUUGCUAUUAAAUACUGAUUCACUAAUGUAUCAGGUAUUUAAUAAUGAAUUUAGACUACUUUUUGUCAUCAGAUUCUUGUCUUCAAUGCCCUUUUUAUCCGUUGGUAUAUUUAAUAAUGAAUUUAGACUACUUUUUGUCAUUAGAUUCUUGUUCUCAGUACUCCUUUUACCCGUUGGCAUUAAAUGACUUGAAUUGGUACGAGACUCGUGUCUAAACUCCUUCUCGUGCCUGUUUAAAUUUCUCUUCUCGCAUCUGUCAUCUUUACUUGAUUAUUACACUUUGACUAUUUGACCAGUCCACGUGUCAUGCUACAUCUUCUAUAAUUUAAAUUUAGUUUUUUUCCAAUACAUUAACUAGAGAGGUAGUUGAAAAGUCAUCGAGGGGAAUGAGACUGUGGCCGAGAACAAGUUAUAGUGGCG
rnacentral:lncRNA from 1 species